AGCAAAACUGCAUCUUCUGCCUUGUCUUGGCUCUUUAAUGUUCCCUGAGGUCCCUCCUCGCUGUAAAUCUCUUCCCUGAGCUUUCAUUUGAAGUGUAACACCUAAAGCCCACGGAGGGGGUUCUUAGGGAAGGAGCCAGCUGUGCACGGGGAAUUGCAGGGAAAGAAAAGGAGCC